AGACAAAGAACUUCAUCUUACGACUGGAUGACAACAACUUCCUUCUCAUUAAUAUUUGUGACAGUAUUCUGAAUCUUAUGCAAGAUAAUUCCUAAACCCUCUAUUCUGAAAUGUAAUGCCUGCUUCAUAAUACUUUUCUGAUCAAGCAACUCCUUCAAUAGGCUUUCAAAUCUUGAGAGCGGUUGGAUGAGCAUCGUCUAACAUAGUGGCUUUGGCCUCGAAGAUUUCGCUCCAAAAUUUACCAUAUCCAAUACUCCCAUGUAUAUCAC
rnacentral:lncRNA from 1 species